GCCAUGGGCACCAGGCUCCUCUGCUGGGUAGUCCUGGGUUUCCUAGAGACAGAUCACACAGGUGCUGGAGUCUCCCAGUCCCCAAGGCUCUGGGGCAGGGGCCAGAGUUUCUGACUUAUUUCCGGAAUGAAGCUCAACUAGACAAAUCAGGGCUGCCCAGUGAUCGCUUC